UCAAUUGGUAAGGUUGCUUGCCUAGCGUGC
rnacentral:piRNA from 1 species